ACUAAAAUUCACAGAUUUCCUAAAUCUGAAAUGGAAAGCCUUGCUUGGAUCAAAGCUUGUGCACGACCACAUUUGCAUCUCAACCGUAGUGAUCAAUAAGAACAAAGGAGUGUCUGCUGGUGUAAGUAUUAUUGCUUUGCUUUCUUUGUGUUUAGUGAAUGGAGAUAUUUUGAGUGAUUGUUUAUCCAUUUGAGAUUCUGCUAUACAGCUUCAGUAGUGUUAUCCAUUUUGUAGUCUGAAUGGAACAUGUAGAUUUAAUUGAGUGGGAUACUAUUUUACCAACUGUUUCAGUAUCUAUGAUAAAUAUGUAUUGCAAUAAAUAUAUAUAUUACAAUUUAUUUAUUUGUUUAUUAGCAUUUUGUCGGCGGGGAUGGGCCAACAGCGUCCCAUCCUUAUCCGACACCUGCAGACGGAGCCCGAGUGCAUAAAGCAAGGCCUGCAAGAAAAAGAGCAUCAGAAAGUUCAAGUAGGCAAGACAGUCGAGACAAGAGACCACGGAUUGGAGCAGAGAGCUUGAUGUCAUCUAGAUCACAGUGAAUGUUCUGAAAUAUUUACAGGGAUACCUGCGAUGCUGCGGUGAACAAUGAUGCAGACAAAGGGAUAGGGGUGCAAGCAGAUGAACAGUAGAUUUCACCGCUGGAUAUGCUGGCACUGACUGCAGAGUUGGAAAUGGCAACAAGAGAAAUCAGUCGCUUAAAAGCAGAAGUGGAAGAUUUAGAAACACACCUACAGAAAGAGAAGACGGCCGUACAACAAGAACGGAAACGAAAACAGUUUUGUAUUGAAAAUGUUGCAGAGUCUGAGAAGAAUGGCAGAAACAAUCUGUUUUUAUAUUAUACAGGAGUUACAUUAGUGCUUUUCUUGUCACUAUUUACAUUUCUCUUGCCAAAGAGGGAGACUUUGAUUUAUGUUGGAAACAGAAAUGAUAUUGGAGAAAUGUCAACGGAAAAUGGGCUUUUUCUGACUAUUUACAGACUGAGACAAAACUUAGGUCUAUCCGAUCUAGCAACACACUUCGGCAUUUCACAACAGUCAGCUGGUGUAGUAUUUAACACUUGGAUUGACAUUAUAUAUCUAAAGCUGUACACUGUUUCUAUCUGGCCCCAUAGACAAACUAUAAUAGAUAACAUGCCAAAAGACUUCAAAGCUAAUUUCCCUACAACCUUAGUUAUUAUUGAUGGAACAGAAUUAAAAACAGAAUCCCCCUGGGCCCAUGGUGUGCAAUGUCAACUAUAUAGCGAUUAUAAGUCUACCACAACAUUCAAGGCACUCGUAGCUUGUGACUCUUGGGGGUUUUUAAUGUUCACAUCAGAAUUAUUCACAGGAUCAAUUUCAGAAAAGACCAUCACAAAAGAAAGUGGGUUGUAUGAAACAAUAUAACAACUGAAGGGUGUUGGUUAUAUUCAGAAUGGUGACUGUGUCAUGGCAGACAAAGGGUUUACAAUCAAGGAUGAGAUAAAUGCCCUUGGUUUGUCCGUAAACAUACCACCUUUUGCCUCAGCAGACAAACAGUUGUCUCAGGCUGAUCUUGCACUAACUGACAAAAUAGCAAGACACAGAGUGCAACAUUGAACAACUGAUUUAUCACAUAAAAGAUUUCAAGAUUGUUGGUUGUACAAUUCCUGCUAUAUUAUUUCCAAAGUUAAACAGAAUAUGGACUGUGUGUUGCUACUUGACACUUUUCUAGGGCUUGGUUUUAAACAAAACGUAAGAACAGUAACACAAGUUUUGUUUGCAGAGAUAGUUCAAUAUACAUUUCCCAACCUUUAUCACCCUGUAAAUACAAUGGAAAUGUAUUUUGAGAACUGUCAAAUUUGCAACGGUAAUUAAAAUACAUUUUUUUAAAUGUG